rnacentral:rRNA from 1 species
AUGAACGCUGGCGGCGUGCCUAAUACCUGCAAGUCGCGCGAACAGACGAGGAGCUUGCUCCUCUGACGUUAGCGGCGGCCGGGUGAGUAACCCGUGGAUAACCUACCUAUAAGACUGGGAUAACUUCGGGAAACCGGAGCUAAUACCGGAUAAUAUAUUGAACCGCAUGGUUCAAUAGUGAAAGACGGUUUUGCUGUCACUUAUAGAUGGAUCCUCGCCGCAUUAGCUAGUUGGUAAGGUAACGGCUUACCAAGGCAACGAUGCGUAGCCGACCUGAGAGGGGGAUCGGCCACACUGGAGCUGAGACACGGUCCAGACUCCGACGGGAGGCAGCGGUAGGGAAUCUACCGCAAUGGGCGAAAGCCUGACGGAGCAACGCCGCGUGAGUGAUGAAGGUCUUCGGAUCGUAAAACGCUGUUAUUAGGGAAGAACAAAUGUGUAAGUAACGAUGCGCGUCUUGACGGAACCUAAGCAGAAAGCCACGGCUAACUACGU